rnacentral:rRNA from 1 species
GGCGGGACACGUGGUAUCCUGUCUGAAUAUGGGGGGACCAUCCUCCAAGGCUAAAUACUCCUGACUGACCGAUAGUGAACCAGUACCGUGAGGGAAAGGCGAAAAGAACCCCGGCGAGGGGAGUGAAAAAGAACCUGAAACCGUGUACGUACAAGCAGUGGGAGCACCCUUUGGGGUGUGACUGCGUACCUUUUGUAUAAUGGGUCAGCGACUUAUAUUCUGUAGCAAGGUUAACCGAAUAGGGGAGCCGGAGGGAAACCGAGUCUUAAUUGGGCGUUAAGUUGCAGGGUAUAGACCCGAAACCCGGUGAUCUAGCCAUGGGCAGGUUGAAGGUUGGGUAACACUAACUGGAGGACCGAACCGACUAAUGUUGAAAAAUUAGCGGAUGACCUGUGGCUGGGGGUGAAAGGCCAAUCAAACCGGGAGAUAGCUGGUUCUCCCCGAAAGCUAUUUAGGUAGCGCCUCGUGAAUUCAUCUCCGGGGGUAGAGCACUGUUUCGGCUAGGGGGCCAUCCCGGCUUACCAACCCGAUGCAAACUGCGAAUACCGGAGAAUGUUAUCACGGGAGACACACGGCGGGUGCUAACGUCCGUCGUGAAGAGGGAAACAACCCAGACCGCCAGCUAAGGUCCCAAAGUCAUGGUUAAGUGGGAAACGAUGUGGGAAGGCCCAGACAGCCAGGAUGUUGGCUUAGAAGCAGCCAUCAUUUAAAGAAAGCGUAAUAGCUCACUGGUCGAGUCGGCCUGCGCGGAAGAUGUAACGGGGCUAAACCAUGCACCGAAGCUGCGGCAGCGACGCUGAUGCGUUGUUGGGUAGGGGAGCGUUCUGUAAGCCUGUGAAGGUGGCCUGUGAGGGUUGCUGGAGGUAUCAGAAGUGCGAAUGCUGACAUAAGUAACGAUAAAGCGGGUGAAAAGCCCGCUCGCCGGAAGACCAAGGGUUCCUGUCCAACGUUAAUCGGGGCAGGGUGAGUCGACCCCUAAGGCGAGGCCGAAAGGCGUAGUCGAUGGGAAACGGGUUAAUAUUCCCGUACUUGGUGUUACUGCGAAGGGGGGACGGAGAAGGCUAUGUUGGCCGGGCGACGGUUGUCCCGGUUUAAGCGUGUAGGUGUGUGUUCCAGGUAAAUCCGGUUCACUUUAACACUGAGGCGUGAUGACGAGGCACUACGGUGCUGAAGCAACAAAUGCCCUGCUUCCAGGAAAAGCCUCUAAGCAUCAGGUAACAUCAAAUCGUACCCCAAACCGACACAGGUGGUCAGGUAGAGAAUACCAAGGCGCUUGAGAGAACUCGGGUGAAGGAACUAGGCAAAAUGGUGCCGUAACUUCGGGAGAAGGCACGCUGACACGUAGGUGAAGUGAUUUACUCAUGGAGCUGAAGUCAGUCGAAGAUACCAGCUGGCUGCAACUGUUUAUUAAAAACACAGCACUGUGCAAACACGAAAGUGGACGUAUACGGUGUGACGCCUGCCCGGUGCCGGAAGGUUAAUUGAUGGGGUCAGCGCAAGCGAAGCUCCUGAUCGAAGCCCCGGUAAACGGCGGCCGUAACUAUAACGGUCCUAAGGUAGCGAAAUUCCUUGUCGGGUAAGUUCCGACCUGCACGAAUGGCGUAAUGAUGGCCAGGCUGUCUCCACCCGAGACUCAGUGAAAUUGAACUCGCUGUGAAGAUGCAGUGUACCCGCGGCAAGACGGAAAGACCCCGUGAACCUUUACUAUAGCUUGACACUGAACAUUGAGCCUUGAUGUGUAGGAUAGGUGGGAGGCUUUGAAGUGUGGACGCCAGUCUGCAUGGAGCCGGCCUUGAAAUACCACCCUUUAAUGUUUGAUGUUCUAACGUGGACCCGUGAUCCGGGUUGCGGACAGUGUCUGGUGGGUAGUUUGACUGGGGCGGUCUCCUCCUAAAGAGUAACGGAGGAGCACGAAGGUUGGCUAAUCCUGGUCGGACAUCAGGAGGUUAGUGCAAUGGCAUAAGCCAGCUUGACUGCGAGCGUGACGGCGCGAGCAGGUGCGAAAGCAGGUCAUAGUGAUCCGGUGGUUCUGAAUGGAAGGGCCAUCGCUCAACGGAUAAAAGGUACUCCGGGGAUAACAGGCUGAUACCGCCCAAGAGUUCAUAUCGACGGCGGUGUUUGGCACCUCGAUGUCGGCUCAUCACAUCCUGGGGCUGAAGUAGGUCCCAAGGGUAUGGCUGUUCGCCAUUUAAAGUGGUACGCGAGCUGGGUUUAGAACGUCGUGAGACAGUUCGGUCCCUAUCUGCCGUGGGCGCUGGAGAACUGAGGGGGGCUGCUCCUAGUACGAGAGGACCGGAGUGGACGCAUCACUGGUGUUCGGGUUGUCAUGCCAAUGGCACUGCCCGGUAGCUAAAUGCGGAAGAGAUAAGUGCUGAAAGCAUCUAAGCACGAAACUUGCCCCGAGAUGAGUUCUCCCUGAGACUUUAGGUCUCCUGAAGGAACGUUGAAGACGACGACGUUGAUAGGCCGGGUGUGUAAGCGCAGCGAUGCGUUGAGCUAACCGGUACUAAUGAACCGUGAGGCUUAACCUUACA